ensembl:lncRNA
UUACACUCUAGAAAGAUAAAUAAUCUUCCCAAAUUCCCAAGAUGGUGCACCAGGCCCCCUGUGAUGGGCCCUGCCUCCUCUUCAGUCUCAUUGCUCUACAUUCCCCACAGCCUUUGUGUUCUUUUUUUUGAGACUCCUACCACCUCAGAGCCUUUGCACCUUCUGUUCCAUCAGCCUGAAUUACUCUGCACCGUUGCCUCCUUAGCAACUCCGCAUACUUCAGGUCUCAGCUUAAACCCCUCUUCUUAAAAGGAUUCCCUCUCAAUCCCAAAGAUUAGGUCAGGUUCCACCUGUUACAUCGCAUCACAGCCCCCUCUGCUUUUAAUUCUUGUAAUUAUUUGAUUAAUCCACCGGCUCCUUAAGGACAUCAGUAAUGCUUUUGUUGUUUCCCACUGUAUUCCCAGCACACAACAGGUGCUCACCAAAUACUCUGAAGUGAAUGAAGAUUAUAAAUUUUUUAUUAAAGCAAAAACUGGGGUAUGUUAGUCCCUAGUCUUCCAAGCAGACAUCAAGACAGGUUUACACCUGCCAGGAUUUUAUUAGGGGGAAGGCAUACGAAAAAAAAUGGAGAGGAAACUAGGAGAGUCGUCAGACUGUGAGGCAAGUCUGACCCUAGAGUGAAGAAGGGAAGAAAGGAAGGUUCGGAAGACCGUCCUCUACAUUCUAGCUCAGUCCAAGAGAGGUUCGGCGAGGCCAUCGAGGAACCCACCAGCCAAAGCUGAAGGUCAGAGGAGUGCCCUGUCUCCCGGGAACCCACGCUUUGGCAUCACCACCGCACGCACUCAUUCGCUCGGAGCGCCAUGGGAGGCGUGGUCCGGCAGCUGCGGCACUCACUCAUUGGCUGGGAGCACCGUGGGAGGGGUGGUCUGGCAGCUGGGGAGUGCAGUUCAGGGCUGGCCGCAGCCCAGCGAUCAUCAUUUAUGCUCCAUGGAGGAGGAAGUCUCCUUCUUCUGGCUGCCAUGUGGGCGUUCAGAGGCGAGAGGAGGUGACUUCUUGUUUAUAGGGAGGAGAAAAAUUACUAAAGAUAACUCCACCCACCUGUGUGACGUGUGACACUUAGAUCCAGUGGCCUCCCUGCAUAAGAAUCGUGAGAAAGAAGAGGAAACAGAUUUUCCAGGUGAAGAGGCAGCGUUUGAUCCCGGACUCAAUGCUGGUCGUCAGAGAAAGGGGUGAAAGAGUCUCCCGACUGAGAAAGCAGCACGUGCAGCCGCGGAGUGUGAUCGCCCGGCUGUAGGGGGACAAGUGCAUAGCCUCUUCUUCAGUUGUCCAGCUUCUAAUUCUGCAAACAGCAGCUGGAGAGGCUCUUAGGAGGAAAAUACAUAAGAAGAGAAGAUUAUUACUGUUUGAAAAGUGCUUUGAGAUCCUCUGAUGAAAGGAAGCCGUGCUGGGAGGCAGGGGAGAAGGGCUGGAAGGAAGACGGGAUGUUGGAGCAAACUGGAGUAGGUCAUGUUGACAGGGAGGAAGACAGCCUGGGAGCCCUGCACGUCUGAGUGUGGACCCAGGGCCUUCCUCUGUUCCCAGGGGAGUUUGCACGCCCUCACCCCCUUGCCAUCUGAACUCUGGUGGCUUUUAGGGCAGUCCGCGUGUUCAAGUUUUACCAAAGGAGUCAUGACCGCUGCAUCAUCAUGGAGAUACCACCUUUGAUUUUUCGGGGAACUGCAGAAUUGUUUUCUGUUGUAUUAAUAUUUGGGUAAUAAUCAUUGAUUAUUAAAAUCUUUAUUCUCUGCGUUUAUGGAGCCACUUUUCUUAGAAAGCCCCACAUCUCUUCUUCAGC